UACGUAGGCAGCGAGCGUUGUUCGGAAUUACUGGGCGUAAAGAGUGUGUAGGCGGUGCUCUAAGUUCGGUGUGAAAUCUCCUGCUUAACUGGGAGGGUGCGCCGAAAACUGGAGUGCUCGAGCGUGGGAGAGGAAAGCGGAAUUCCUGGUGUAGCGGUGAAAUGCGUAGAUAUCAGGAGGAACACCUGCGGUGUAGACGGCUUUCUGGACCAUUGCUGACGCUGAGACACGAAAGUGUGGGUAGCAAACAGG
rnacentral:rRNA from 1 species